GAAAGCUCCCAUCUCCCUGCCUUUGUGCUCCCUGGAAAGAAUCUGAGCCAGAAGGACCGGCCAGAGCUUAGGUUAUGGUGUGAUGCUAAUGCUGUUAUUGCAGCUGAGGAAAGAAGGGAGAGAAGUUUCAAUAAAAAGCCUUGUAAGCAAAUUUGGUUCUGAGCAUCUCCUGUUUUAGAGGUGGGCAACGCUUGAGAGUACACACAGUUGCUUGUCCAGGGGUCAGAGCAGAUAGCUCCCAGCAGUAUAUCCCUUAAUAUUCUGUUUAGCAUGACCCCGAGAACAGCCCAAGCCUACCUUCCUUCCGCAGAAGGGAGUGUAGAGGGGGAGGGAAGCGCUGGGGGUGAGCAGAGACCAGCUGCCGAGCUGGAAAUAGGGUAGCAGCGCUGUGCUGGGAGAGAGAGAGGAGAGCAGCAGCGGAGCCCGCACCCACACGAGGGUGCUCUCGGCCCGCGGUUCACCUCCAGGGGAAGGAAGGAGACUGGGAAGGGGCUGCUCCUCGCCUUUCUCUUCAUCCUCCGCGAGCAGAGACAUUACUUAAGCAGUGCACGCCCUGGUGCCCUUUCCCUGUCCCCCAGCCCUGCAGUGGUGUCCCCUUGCUUGCCAGCUCCAUGCCCGCAAUGGGUGACUGGGGGGGUGCUCUCUUUAGGUGAUGCCUUACCUGCCCCAGUGCCCUGUGUGUGAUCCCCAGUGCUCACCUGGCAGAGAUGUGCAGUUUGCACACUGGUACAUGUCAGCAGUAACAUAUGGGCAAGGUGUGCGGUUACGCCCGGGGACUGGCAGCGCUCAGACGCAUCAGCAGCUCAGAGGCCAAGAACAAGCUCCUGCAGCCACCCAAGAAGAAGUGUGGAUGGAAGAGGAGCACAUUGAAGCAAUGCCAUCUUCCAGAAAAGCAAACAAACAAAAAGCAGCUUUUCGAACAAAUGAUUCUGAAACGGUUGAGUGAUGACAUAGUUAAAAUGGCAGACAGCAGCAGUGUGUGUAAAGGUGAAGUCUCGUACCAAUGGUGAAGUCUUUGGCAAUGCAAGCUCUCCAGGCGCGAGGUUGGAAAUGCCAAAGCAGGGAAGAGGAAUUUCUUUUGUUUUGUUUUCCAUGGCGUGGCUUUAUUCCUCUUUUGCUCAUGUCUGUGCUCCAGGCAGUGCCCCAGAAAUUCUCAGUUUUUUAAAGGAUCGCAUAACCCUGAAGAAAUAAAAGUAAAAAAAAAACCA
rnacentral:lncRNA from 1 species